rnacentral:rRNA from 1 species
AUUGAACGCUGGCGGCAUGCUUUACACAUGCAAGUCGAACGGUAACAGGCCUUCGGGUGCUGAUGAGUGGCGAACGGGCGAGUAAUGCAUCGGAACGUACCCAGAGGUGGGGGAUAACGCAGCGAAAGCUGUGCUAAUACCGCAUGUGAUCUGAGGAUGAAAGCGGGGGACCGGGCAGCAAUGUUUGGCCUCGCGCCUUUGGAGCGGCCGAUGUCGGAUUAGCUAGUUGGUGGGGUAAAGGCCUACCAAGGCGACGAUCCGUAGCUGGUCUGAGAGGACGACCAGCCACACUGGGACUGAGACACGGCCCAGACUCCUACGGGAGGCAGCAGUGGGGAAUUUUGGACAAUGGGCGCAAGCCUGAUCCAGCAAUGCCGCGUGCGGGAAGAAGGCCUUCGGGUCGUAAACCGCGUUUGGCAGGAACGAAACGGUGUCCGCUAAUACCGAGCGCUAAUGACGGUACCUGCAGAAUAAGCACCGGCUAACUACGUG